rnacentral:rRNA from 1 species
GACGUAGGGUGCGAGCGUUGUCCGGAUUUAUUGGGCGUAAAGAGCUCGUAGGCGGCUCGUCGCGUCAGCUGUGAAAACCCCGCGGCUUAACCGUGGGCUUGCAGCUGAUACGGGCGGGCUGGAGUUCGGUAGGGGAGACUGGAAUUCCUGGUGUAGCGGUGAAAUGCGCAGAUAUCAGGAGGAACACCGGUGGCGAAGGCGGCACUCUGGGCCGAUACUGACACUGAGGAGCGAAAGCGUGGGGAGCGAACAGG